CAGUCGCCACGGGAAUACGAAGGGGGCUAGCGUUGCUCGGAAUUACUGGGCGUAAAGGGAGCGUAGGCGGGUCGUUUAGUCAGAGGUGAAAUCCCGGGGCUCAACCUCGGAACUGCCUUUGAUACUGGCGACCUUGAGGAUGGGAGAGGUAAGCGGAACUCCGAGUGUAGAGGUGAAAUUCGUAGAUAUUCGGAAGAACACCAGUGGCGAAGGCGGCUUACUGGCCCAUUACUGACGCUGAGGCUCGAAAGCGUGGGGAGCAAACAGGAUUAGAUACCCCCGUAGUCCCUGUCUCUUAUAC
rnacentral:rRNA from 1 species